rnacentral:rRNA from 1 species
UGACUNGAGUGCAGAAGGAGAGAGUGGAAUUCCAUGUGUAGCGGUGAAAUGCGUAGAUAUAUGGAGGAACACCGGUGGCGAAAGCGGCUCUCUGGUCUGUCACUGACGCUGAGGCUCGAAAGCGUGGGUAGCGAACAGGAUUAGAUACCCUGGUAGUCCACGCCGUAAACGAUGAGUGCUAGGUGUUAGGCCCUUUCCGGGGCUUAGUGCCGGAGCUAACGCAAUAAGCACUCUGCCUGGGGAGUACGACCGCAAGGUUGAAACUCAAAGGAAUUGACGGGGGCCCGCACAAGCGGUGGAGCAUGUGGUUUAAUUCGAAGCAACGCGAAGAACCUUACCAGGUCUUGACAUCCCGAUGCUAUUCUUAGAGAUAGGAAGUUACUUCGGUACAUCGGAGACAGGUGGUGCAUGGUUGUCGUCAGCUCGUGUUGUGAGAUGUUGGGUUAAGUCCCGCAACGAGCGCAACCCUUAUUGUUAGUUGCCAUCAUUAAGUUGGGCACUCUAGCGAGACUGCCGGUAAUAAACCGGAGGAAGGUGGGGAUGACGUCAAAUCAUCAUGCCCCUUAUGACCUGGGCUACACACGUGCUACAAUGGUCGGUACAACGAGUUGCGAGCCGGUGACGGCAAGCUAAUCUCUGAAAGCCGAUCUCAGUUCGGAUUGGAGGCUGCAACUCGCCUCCAUGAAGUCGGAAUCGCUAGUAAUCGCGGAUCAGCACGCCGCGGUGUAUACGUUCCCGGGCCUUGUACACACCGCCCGUCACACCACGAGAGUUUGUAACACCCGAAGUCGGUGAGGUAACCUUUUAGGGGCCA